UGGGGAAUAUUGCACAAUGGGGGAAACCCUGAUGCAGCGACGCCGCGUGAGUGAAGAAGUAUCUCGGUACGUAAAGCUCUAUCAGCAGGGAAGAAAAUGACGGUACCUGACUAAGAAGCCCCGGCUAACUACGUGCCAGCAGCCGCGGUAAUACGUAGGGGGCAAGCGUUAUCCGGAUUUACUGGGUGUAAAGGGAGCGUAGACGGCAGCGCAAGUCUGGAGUGAAAUGCCGGGGCCCAACCCCGGAACUGCUUUGGAAACUGUGCAGCUCGAGUGCAGGAGAGGUAAGCGGAAUUCCUAGUGUAGCGGUGAAAUGCGUAGAUAUUAGGAGGAACACCAGUGGCGAAGGCGGCUUACUGGACUGUAACUGACGUUGAGGCUCGAAAGCGUGGGGAGCAAA
rnacentral:rRNA from 1 species